rnacentral:rRNA from 1 species
GACGGAGGAUGCAAGCGUUAUCCGGAAUGAUUGGGCGUAAAGCGUCCGCAGGUGGCAGUUCAAGUCUGCUGUCAAAGACCGGGGCUUAACUUCGGAAAGGCAGUGGAAACUGAACAGCUAGAGUAUGGUAGGGGCAGAGGGAAUUCCCGGUGUAGCGGUGAAAUGCGUAGAGAUCGGGAAGAACAUCGGUGGCGAAGGCGCUACUGCUGGACCAUAACUGACACUCAGGGACGAAAGCGUAGGGG